GACAGAGGGUGCAAACGUUGUUCGGAAUUACUGGGCGUAAAGCGAGUGUAGGCGGUCUGCUAAGUCGGGUGUGAAGGCCCUGGGCUCAACCCAGGAAGUGCACUCGAAACUGGCGGGCUAGAGUAUCGGAGAGGUUGGUGGAAUUCUCGGUGUAGAGGUGAAAUUCGUAGAUAUCGAGAGGAACACCGGUGGCGAAGGCGGCCAACUGGACGAAUACUGACGCUGAGACUCGAAAGCGUGGGGAGCAAACAGG
rnacentral:rRNA from 1 species